rnacentral:rRNA from 1 species
UACGUAGGUGGCAAGCGUUGUCCGGAUUUACUGGGCGUAAAGAGCGCGCAGGCGGUCGUUCAAGUCGCGUGUGAAAGCCCCCCGGCUCAACUGGGGAGGGUCACGCGAUACUGAUCGACUCGAAGGCAGGAGAGGGUAGUGGAAUUCCCGGUGUAGUGGUGAAAUGCGUAGAUAUCGGGAGGAACACCAGUGGCGAAGGCGGGUCUCUGGACAGUUCCUGACGCUGAGGCACGAAGGUCAAGGGGAGGCAAACGGG